UGUUUGUUUCGAGAUAAACAUGACCGGCAGCCGCAAUUUCUCUCUUAAAAUAAUAAGUCGUUCGAUCAAGGCGGUAAAUGCGAUACGUAUCGUCCACUGGAUUCAGGUGGGCAAUGGCUACUUGAGACCCCAGUGCCCCUGGGGAAAAGACAAUGUUGUCACUAGCGCCACUCGGCAGUCGGAAGGAAAUGGCCUCUGUACUUGAACUCCAUUCCAGUCUGAUGUCUGCUCACUACUGUCUGCUCUCUGCUUUCUGCCUUCAUUCCUAGCAUUUGGUUUGACCUCGUGGUUUGGAAAUUUUGGCGUUUAAUUUUAUCACUUUAUAAGUUACGUUAAUUUUUUACGUUUUACGUUAUUUUUUUUGUAAUCAUGUUAAAUAUUUACCAAAUCUAACUUAUCAAAAGCAAAUUGUGAUCACCGGCUCGAGAGAGAAUAGUAGAAUUGGUUUCUUUGACAAAAUUUUUAGCACAGUAGAUAGAUAGAAGAUAGUAGGUAACAUACAAUACUUACUAUCUUUGACAGAUCAAAAGUAUAAUUAUUGUGAUUGAACUAAGAGACAUCUUUAUUUCCUUCUAACAUGAAUUCAAAUCUCUCCAGGUUACUUAAUGUUAAUGGACUUACAUUACACCAGGAAAAUGACAGCCAGCGUUUACAGCCGUUAUGGUACAUAAACAAUAUAGAAGCUUCUGUAGAAAAUACGCCAGAAGUCAGUCACUAGGUAGUGGGAUCAUACGAACUGCCAAGAUUUUUUCCGAGAUCUUAGUGAAUUGUGUCUGUUGUAAGUAUUUCAGAACACCUGUCAUCUGCAGCUGUAUCUUCAUUCGUGCCAUAGCGUUCUUUGCAUCAAGGUUGUUGUUCACGUUAAUGAUUCAAGUUCAUGGUUAAAAAAAGUGAAGAAAUUUCGCUGAAAAAGUCAUCUUCUGGUUUUCCGAACAACAUUAUCCUUUUGUAAUAAUCAGGAGCUCUACGCAUUUAUCAAAAAAUCCAGGAACACUUUCUACAGGAACAUGGGUGAACACCCGAAGACAGGUAUGAUUUUUAUCUCAACUCCCUUGGUAACACAUGAACUUUUCUAAUGGAAUAUAGUAGCAAAAGUAACAACAGCAGAUAGUUUACUGAUUAAUUUGUCCACUGUUUGAAUUUUUGGAAACCAUGCCUGCUGAUAAUGAAUCUCUUGCUAAUGACUUGCAAUGUGAUUUGCAGGAAAUCCUUUAGGGAACCAGAUUUAGCUCGUGGUUUUGGUCAAGUUCAGUUCUUAAUUGAAUAGAAAGCUAGUUGAUAACAUUAUUUAUAGUUUUUAUCAUUACAUUUUUUAAAGUAAUAAUGCUUUCAAAUAUUCUUUUGAAGAAUGGACAAUUGGAAAUCAGUAUGCUUGUUCUGAGAAAUUUCCGCAAGAGAUAACAUUGAUGGUAUUAUUUAUUUUUUCCCCUUUGCAGUAGGAUUCCUUCUUCAAAGGUGAUUGAUUAAUUUUGUGUCUAUUUGGGCGCUGAUCCUUAGCAACCUUACAUCACUAGCCAUAGCUAUGUUUUCCCUCUUCGAAAGUGACAUUUUGUGAAAUGAGGUCAAAUGAUUCUGUUGAUAUCUAAUCUUUUUGCAAUCAGUUUAGUUUGAAUUAGCUUGAUUUUCUAACGAUUAAUACCGUAGACGUAUGGUAGGAAUUAUAGAAUAGCCCAGCUGUUCAGUUGACAUACUUAUUCAUAAACCAUUGUGAUGCCUUUACAUUAUUUAUUUUUUAACCUCAAGGUCUAAUAUUUUUUAAUUGAUUCAAUUUGUCUUUGAACAAUUCGCCAAAUUUGGGAAAAUUCACAUUGUUAUUAUUGGGGAAUCCUGAACUCCCAUGACUGUGGGCGAUAAGGGCGAUCGACUUGCUCAGAUGGAUUGUAAGACAACCUAGUAUGAUCCAGCUGGGGGUAAGGCUAAGGUAAAUUGUCGUGAAGUUUUCGAGUUUCGUAGGUUCUAGAAAAUAAUGAUGUAGGAGGAUCGUAGCAUGGACUCUUUGGAGGAGUGUAGGGCGUUUGUGGGUGAACGGGAAAGUGGUUGGCCGCUUGUUGGGUGUAAUCUGGAUUUGGUUUAUAUUUGAGUUUAAAUGAUUCAUACUUAUCGUUGAUUUGCUGGUAAUUUUAAUAUCCUUCGUGUUCUGUUAACUGAUUCCUUGGCUCACUCGAUUUGCCCGGUGCGAAUCCUUGGAUUACCGCACUGCUUUUCGCUUUUAUUUGAAGGUUAUCAAGUCUUGCAACUGCCGUGGGCAAAGGAGCAAGAAGAAUUGAAUCCAGAAACUUCGUAAGACGUUGUUAAACAUAUAUUGUUCGUUAGUUUUCGUAAGUUUCUCAGAGUAUUGACUACACUAUUUGCUACGAAGAUUUCACGUUUCAUGUUAUCCAAAUACGUCUGUUAUUUUCGUUUUCUAGAAUUUUCACGAAGGAGCUGCGUUCGAACAGGACUUUGAUGACAGCAGAGUGACAGUUUACAUUCAGUCAUUGCCCUUUGUACAACUUUUUUCUGGCACGUAUUUCUUGCAUUCUCGUAGGUGGUUGACCUUAUUCCGCAAGGCUUCUCGGGUGGUUUCAACUUUGAUUAUCCUUUCUAUUUAUAAAUUUUUUCAACUCUGCUGCAAGAAUCAGGCUUCUGUUCAUGAGGGCUACGCUGGUCAAUCGUUCUGUAAAUAAAGAGCGUAAGUCCUUCUAAUAGACCAGCAUUGAUGUGAGCAAGGAUUUGCUUAGGGACAGUGAGACAUCAGCAAAUACUACAACGGAACCAUAUCCAAAUUAUAGAACAAAACUUGUGCAGCUGUGAUACUUCCCAAACACCUAUGCAGUUUGGAAUGCUUGUCAGGUGAAUGGCACACAGGUUAAUGUAAAAGAUGCCAAAUGUAAGACAUGGUAACAUGGUCCUGAUAGAAUGUGUGGGCCCCCUGAUGUAGCUGGGAACAUACAAUUUUUCAUGUUGGUUACACGAAGGCAGUAAUAACUGUGCUGCAAACAAUCUGCAAAACAUGCUUGUCUGUUCAUCCCAGUGACAAGAUGGCAAAUGUAUUGAGUAAAUCGAUUGCCGGAGAAAUAGGACCCAAAAAUAGGCCAUGGAGAAAUAGGACCUCUUUUUCUGACUUUCUUUUUAGGGUCCUAUUUCUCCGCUAGAUGGGUCCUAUUUCUCCCUCCUGUUAUUAAUGGCUGCCUAUGUUUCACAGCGUUGCUAAACUAAUUUUUUUAAAUAUAAUUAACUGAAUUAUCCUAACCUAACCUACCCCGCGAAACCUUUAUAUUUUAAAAAAUUAGUUUAGCAACGCUGCUGUAGAAACAUAGGCAGCCAUUAAUGAUAGGAGGGAGAAAUAGGACCCAUCUAGCGGAGAAAAAAAGUCAGAAAAAGGGGUCCUAUUUCACCGGGUCCUAUUUCUCCAUGGCCUUUUUUUGGGUCCUAUUUCUCCGGCUACCAGUAAAUCUGACUAAGGAAGCAAAUCUGAGAAGAGCUGCUAUGAUAAAGGAAACCAUUAAAGCCUCAAAAACCACAAAAGUACAUGUGUUACCUCUACCUGGCUCCUAAUCGAUGAUGGCUUGGAAUAUAGAAAAAACAAUGCUUAGAAAAGUAAAUUUUACAGUUGCCAACCGCAAUAGUUCCGCGCUGUAAUUAAUAAAAUCUCGGUCAGUGACUCAGUGUCGCCAACGUGAUACAGUCAUUCAACUCUUUACAUCGAAUCUGUUGAGAAGGAUACCUCAGGAUGGACACUAUUACUCCAAUUGUAAAUGAAUGGACACAGGUAAAAAGUUUAGAAGAGACUUUUAUUGGAUCACCUUGCAACCUCUUACUUUCAUUUGAAAGUAAUUCAAGUAGGUCGUCCUAAUGCAAUAAUAAUUUCUGAUUAAAUUUUUAUAGUGUCUUUACAGCACUCAUGCAGCCACCAUAUAGACAUUUUAAAAACAUUUUAGAAUAUGUAAACUAUGGCACUAAGUUAAUGUCUCCAUACUUCGUAUGUUUGUCGCAUAUGAAGAAGAAUGAAAAUGGAAUGUGAUGCCUAGGUAGUAUAAUGAGGUCAGAAGAUUGACCAACAUCUAUGGAAAAAUGACUUUGCUGAUGGUAGUAUUUUGUUCCAAGAAUGUUGAAUGUGUAGUGUGAAGGUUUAUCAGAUAGUUGUACUGACACAACCUUUGUUUUCUAGAACCAGCUACAUUUAGCAGGUUUGCUUUAUUAGAGAACUGUUAAAUAUUUGAUAUUCAUAAUAUUCGCAAGGCUUUUAAGAAAAUAGUUUUCAUUGCACUAGCGACAAUUCGGAAUGGCGAGGUGCGAGUGAUUCGGAUAUAAAAUCAACGUUGAUAUGCAAUAGGUGUCGAAAAUUUUCUGAGCUGUAUAAAUUUUUUUAAUUUAAAAAAUGUUAGAUUCGCAGCUGGCAAGAAAUGACGACGAUUGGUGAUGAAACAAUUUAUUCUGACGGCUGUAAUUCAUGGACACGUCGACAUUCAUGGUAAUCAAACUUAGAACGUCUGCAAUACGAAAUUUUUGACCAUUUUAAAGGAAAGCUGCCAACAUAUUUUCAGCAUUUUAAUAAAACAAUAAGCGCGUUCAUUCCCUUCAACCAAUUGUCAACGAGAGGCCCCGUAGGAAUCUUCCAUUCCUCACUUUUAUUGUAGCUGACAGUGACUGUAAUUAUGGCUUACUUAGCCCAUGCUUAUCAAGAGCUGCCUUCUUCGUUCUCCAACCUAAAAACUCAUCUUCAAAAGCUUCCCGGUUUUUUAUGGUCGUAGAGAACAGCAGACGACGGAUUUGAGGAAGUAACAAAGCAAAUAAGAAAGGAAAAGUCUAUUGCCCCUCAAAAGUUGAGGGGUAAUAGCCAAAAAGUCUAUUGCUCCUCAAAAGUUGAGGGGCAACAGGCGUGACCAAUAAGAAAUUCGUACAUUUCGUUUGAAGUACGUACUACUCGAAUUGAACAGUUCAAAGCGGCAUUGUACCAUCGGGCAGAACCCAAAAGGUCGAUGCAUUGAAAAUGUCGGACCUCUGUUGAUGAAUUUUCACCAGCACUAUUCCACAAGACGCACGCAAAGCAAACGAUAGCGAAGGAGAUAUGGACUUGAAUUGAUUGUUUACAACCCAUGGCUUUCCCGCAUUCCAGGAUUAGUCUUGUACACCUUUUGCAUUUGUACAGAGCGUUCGGGAACGAAAGUAGUUGUGGAUUGGUUUGCUGUUGUCAAGCAAGGGAAGGAUAACCAAAGUAGACAGGAUAUCUAUUCUAAAUCCCACAAUGUCCUGGUAAUAAAUUGUAAGAAAUAUGCCAAAAGGAUUUCACCGUAUUAAGUAGGAGUAUCAGCAAAAAUUUAAUACUAACCCGUGUUUUUUUUCUUUAUUGUACACUACAAACCAUACUGAACUAGAAUAGGAUUUGGACUGAGGUUGGGUGCCAUAACAAUGGUUGAUAAUUGGAAGUGUGAUUGGAAAUAUCCAUGAUGAUGCAAAAUAUGGAAAGGAGAUUGAACUGAAACGUGAUCCAAGUUUUUGUUUUUUUCUGGGCAUCUUGAGCUGAGUUGUUUGAAUGUGAACUUUAUUUGGCAUUUUUCUAUGAGCAAGUGUGUUUUCCCAAAGGUUCUGGUGUCUGAAGUAAUAUUGGUAAAGUUAAGGUUUAAAUUCUAUAAUUUUCUAUGUGACUAAUUGAUCUGUAGCCCUGCUUAACUUGGAAAUGAGAUUGAAGGAGAGGAAGCAUUUCUCUUCUUUAAAAAACAUCUACCCAGCUGCAUGCAACCAGUGUCUUCUUGAUCACAAUGAAAUUGUUAUUAGAAACAGAUAAAGCCAAACAUCCAGUAUUAGCACAUUGGGAAAGUGUUCAACUUAAAAAAAGCUUUAAGUCAUGCAAGUAAGAAACAUUUAUUUAACACUAAUCACUUCUCAAUUGAUUCACAGUAGAGCUCUGGAAAACAAUUGUGAAGUUAUAUAUUCUUAUUGAAUUGAAACGUUUAAAGUGAUUGGAAGAGAUAGUGCGCGUGCAUUUAGUUCCAAAGCAUCUAGGUACUUCGCGUAGUUUGUCAUCUGUAAUCCGUCCCCCUCUCCAAUCUUCCUCUAUUCUUCUAUACCAUUCUAUUCCACAGUUUUGUCCUCGCUUGUGGAGAUUUAUUUAUUUGCGUAUACAUUAUUUUAAUUUAAAUGUAUUCUUUGAAACUGAUUGAAUGUUAAUGUGUUAAAAUGCAGGUAGAACGUAACGGAAUCACUCAGUCGUUUCGGCCAGUGUGGGGAAGAGUGGAGUUCAAUCUGGCCGAGAUCUAACGACUAAGCGUUAAGAAUGGAAUUAUUUGACAAAAUUUAAUACUAACUCAUGUUUUUUCUUUAAUGUAGACUACAAACUAUACUGAACAAGAAUAGGAUUUUGACUGAGGCUGGGUGCCAAAACAAUGGUUGAUAAUUGGAAGCGCGAUUGGAAAUAUCCAUGAUUUAUUAACGUUCUCUCGUGUUACGGUAUUUUAUUAAAGACAAAUUGAAGUGCA